rnacentral:rRNA from 1 species
UACAGAGGGGGCAAGCGUUGUUCGGAAUUACUGGGCGUAAAGGGCGCGUAGGCGGCCUUCUAAGUCGAACGUGAAAUCCCUGGGCUCAACUCAGGAACUGCGUCCGAUACUGGAAGGCUUGAAUCCGGGAGAGGGAUGCGGAAUUCCAGGUGUAGCGGUGAAAUGCGUAGAUAUCUGGAGGAACACCGGUGGCGAAGGCGGCAUCCUGGACCGGUAUUGACGCUGAGGCGCGAAAGCCAGGGGAGCAAACGGG